rnacentral:rRNA from 1 species
AGUAGCGGCGAGCGAACGGGGAGCAGCCCAGAGCCUGAAUCAGUGUGUGUGUUAGUGGAAGCGUCUGGAAAGGCGCGCGAUACAGGGUGACAGCCCCGUACACAAAAAUGCACAUGCUGUGAGNAGUGUGUUUCGACACACUAUCAUUAACUGAAUCCAUAGGUUAAUGAGGCGAACCGGGGGAACUGAAACAUCUAAGUACCCCGAGGAAAAGAAAUCAACCGAGAUUCCCCCAGUAGCGGCGAGCGAACGGGGAGCAGCCCAGAGCCUGAAUCAGUGUGUGUGUUAGUGGAAGCGUCUGGAAAGGCGCGCGAUACAGGGUGACAGCCCCGUACACAAAAAUGCACAUGCUGUGAGCUCGAUGAGUAGGGCGGGACACGUGGUAUCCUGUCUGAAUAUGGGGGGACCAUCCUCCAAGGCUAAAUACUCCUGACUGACCGAUAGUGAACCAGUACCGUGAGGGAAAGGCGAAAAGAACCCCGGCGAGGGGAGUGAAAAAGAACCUGAAACCGUGUACGUACAAGCAGUGGGAGCACGCUUAGGCGUGUGACUGCGUACCUUUUGUAUAAUGGGUCAGCGACUUAUAUUCUGUAGCAAGGUUAACCGAAUAGGGGAGCCGAAGGGAAACCGAGUCUUAACUGGGCGUUAAGUUGCAGGGUAUAGACCCGAAACCCGGUGAUCUAGCCAUGGGCAGGUUGAAGGUUGGGUAACACUAACUGGAGGACCGAACCGACUAAUGUUGAAAAAUUAGCGGAUGACUUGUGGCUGGGGGUGAAAGGCCAAUCAAACCGGGAGAUAGCUGGUUCUCCCCGAAAGCUAUUUAGGUAGCGCCUCGUGAAUUCAUCUCCGGGGGUAGAGCACUGUUUCGGCAAGGGGGUCAUCCCGACUUACCAACCCGAUGCAAACUGCGAAUACCGGAGAAUGUUAUCACGGGAGACACACGGCGGGUGCUAACGUCCGUCGUGAAGAGGGAAACAACCCAGACCGCCAGCUAAGGUCCCAAAGUCAUGGUUAAGUGGGAAACGAUGUGGGAAGGCCCAGACAGCCAGGAUGUUGGCUUAGAAGCAGCCAUCAUUUAAAGAAAGCGUAAUAGCUCACUGGUCGAGUCGGCCUGCGCGGAAGAUGUAACGGGGCUAAACCAUGCACCGAAGCUGCGGCAGCGACGCUUAUGCGUUGUUGGGUAGGGGAGCGUUCUGUAAGCCUGCGAAGGUGUGCUGUGAGGCAUGCUGGAGGUAUCAGAAGUGCGAAUGCUGACAUAAGUAACGAUAAAGCGGGUGAAAAGCCCGCUCGCCGGAAGACCAAGGGUUCCUGUCCAACGUUAAUCGGGGCAGGGUGAGUCGACCCCUAAGGCGAGGCCGAAAGGCGUAGUCGAUGGGAAACAGGUUAAUAUUCCUGUACUUGGUGUUACUGCGAAGGGGGGACGGAGAAGGCUAUGUUGGCCGGGCGACGGUUGUCCCGGUUUAAGCGUGUAGGCUGGUUUUCCAGGCAAAUCCGGAAAAUCAAGGCUGAGGCGUGAUGACGAGGCACUACGGUGCUGAAGCAACAAAUGCCCUGCUUCCAGGAAAAGCCUCUAAGCAUCAGGUAACAUCAAAUCGUACCCCAAACCGACACAGGUGGUCAGGUAGAGAAUACCAAGGCGCUUGAGAGAACUCGGGUGAAGGAACUAGGCAAAAUGGUGCCGUAACUUCGGGAGAAGGCACGCUGAUAUGUAGGUGAGGUCCCUCGCGGAUGGAGCUGAAAUCAGUCGAAGAUACCAGCUGGCUGCAACUGUUUAUUAAAAACACAGCACUGUGCAAACACGAAAGUGGACGUAUACGGUGUGACGCCUGCCCGGUGCCGGAAGGUUAAUUGAUGGGGUUAGCGCAAGCGAAGCUCUUGAUCGAAGCCCCGGUAAACGGCGGCCGUAACUAUAACGGUCCUAAGGUAGCGAAAUUCCUUGUCGGGUAAGUUCCGACCUGCACGAAUGGCGUAAUGAUGGCCAGGCUGUCUCCACCCGAGACUCAGUGAAAUUGAACUCGCUGUGAAGAUGCAGUGUACCCGCGGCAAGACGGAAAGACCCCGUGAACCUUUACUAUAGCUUGACACUGAACAUUGAGCCUUGAUGUGUAGGAUAGGUGGGAGGCUUUGAAGUGUGGACGCCAGUCUGCAUGGAGCCGACCUUGAAAUACCACCCUUUAAUGUUUGAUGUUCUAACGUUGACCCCUAAUCGGGGUUGCGGACAGUGUCUGGUGGGUAGUUUGACUGGGGCGGUCUCCUCCUAAAGAGUAACGGAGGAGCACGAAGGUUGGCUAAUCCUGGUCGGACAUCAGGAGGUUAGUGCAAUGGCAUAAGCCAGCUUGACUGCGAGCGUGACGGCGCGAGCAGGUGCGAAAGCAGGUCAUAGUGAUCCGGUGGNAGGUUAGUGCAAUGGCAUAAGCCAGCUUGACUGCGAGCGUGACGGCGCGAGCAGGUGCGAAAGCAGGUCAUAGUGAUCCGGUGGUUCUGAAUGGAAGGGCCAUCGCUCAACGGAUAAAAGGUACUCCGGGGAUAACAGGCUGAUACCGCCCAAGAGUUCAUAUCGACGGCGGUGUUUGGCACCUCGAUGUCGGCUCAUCACAUCCUGGGGCUGAAGUAGGUCCCAAGGGUAUGGCUGUUCGCCAUUUAAAGUGGUACGCGAGCUGGGUUUAGAACGUCGUGAGACAGUUCGGUCCCUAUCUGCCGUGGGCGCUGGAGAACUGAGGGGGGCUGCUCCUAGUACGAGAGGACCGGAGUGGACGCAUCACUGGUGUUCGGGUUGUCAUGCCAAUGGCACUGCCCG